UUCUUGACAUUGGAUUUCACUGAAAACCUACCGAAUGGCUCCUCCCACAAUAUUAUGAUGUUCCCCAAGUUUUGGACUAAAUCCGAUGUCGAUCGAUCCACGAAAUUUGACAAUUCAGGUUCGUACGAAGUUCGUUCUGAAAUGGAGUAGUUGGUGUAUUGUAUAGUUCUAGGGGUUGUAUUUCACUCAAAACCCACCAAAUGCCUCCUCCCACAAUAUUAUGUUGUUCCCCAAGUUUUGGACUGAAUCCGAUAUCGAAUGGUCAAUGAAAACGGGCAAUUUAAGUUCGUACAAAGUUCGUUCUGAAAUGGGGUGGUUGGUGUAUUGUAUAGUUCUAGGGAUUUUAUUUUACUCAAAACCCACCAAAUGCCUCCUCCCACAAUAUUGUGAUGUUCCCCAAGUUUUGGACUCAAUCCGAUAUCGAUCGGUCCACGAAAUUUGACAAUUCAGGUUCGUACGAAGUUUGUUCUGAAAUGGAGUGGUUGGUGUAUUGUACAGUUCUAGGGAUUGUAUUUCACUCAAAACUUACCAAAUGACCCCUCCCACAAU
rnacentral:lncRNA from 1 species